rnacentral:lncRNA from 1 species
UAGGCCUAGAUAUUCCUUUAUAAAAUAUAUAGGCCUAGGUAUUCCUUUAUAAAAUAUAUAGGCCUAGGUAUUCCUUUAUAAACAUAUAGGCCUAGGUAUUCCUUUAUAAACAUAUAGGCCUAGGUAUUCCUUUAUAAAAUAUAUAGCCCUAGGUAUUCCUUUAUAAAAUAUAUAGGCCUAGAUAUUCCUUUAUAAACAUAUAGGCCUAGGUAUUCCUUUAUAAAUAUAUAGGCCUAGGUAUUCCUUUAUAAAAUAUAUAGGCCUAGAUAUUCCUUUAUAAACAUAUAGGCCUAGGUAUUCCUUUAUAAAAUAUAUAGGCCUAGGUAUUCCUUUAUAAAAUAUAUAGGCCUAGAUAUUCCUUUAUAAACAUAUAGGC